rnacentral:rRNA from 1 species
AAAGGAAUAGACGGGGACCCGCACAAGCAGCGGAGCAUGUGGUUUAAUUCGAAGCAACGCGAAGAACCUUACCAAGACUUGACAUCGAGUGCCGUCUGCGGAAACGUAGAUUACCCAGCAAUGGGUCGCAAAGACAGGUGGUGCAUGGUUGUCGUCAGCUCGUGUCGUGAGAUGUUCGGUUAAGUCCGGCAACGAGCGCAACCCUUAUGGUAUGUUGCCAAUAUUCAGUUAGGAACUCAUACCAGACUGCCGUGGAUAACACGGAGGAAGGCGGGGAUGAUGUCAAAUCAUCAUGCCCCUUACGUCUUGGGCUACACACGUGCUACAAUGGGCGCAACAAAGAGCAGCAAGCCGGCGACGGUAAGCGAAUCUCAAAAAAGCGUUCUCAGUUCGGAUUGAGGGCUGCAACCCGCCCUCAUGAAGCAGGAGUUGCUAGUAAUCCCGAAUCAGCAUGUCGGGGUGAAUGCGUUCCCGGGUCUUGUACACACCGCCCGU